ensembl:lncRNA
CCGCUCCUGCUCCAGCAGCACACUGUGAUCCACCGGCAAGGAGGGACACCUUGGAGGGACGCCAAUAAGGCAUCCGAUAAGAUAAAGGCAAGCUAGAGUUUUCUGAAAAAGGAGCCACAGCUGAGUAAAUGCCUUCACCAAAUUGCCUAUAGGAUGCUGCUGUGUGGGGUCCCUUGGCGAGAAUGGUUCUGUAUUCACCACAAGUCACCAUGGAAAGGAACGGGCUAGAUGGAGAGACUGAAAGCCUUCAUCCAGCAGCUGGUGGAAGUAGAAGCAGACACCCAUAACUAAUCACUGAACUGAACUGGGACUCAGAUGCAGAGAAGGACCAGUGAAGAGCACUGGGGUCCAGACCAGGCUGGUGAAACCCACAGAAACAGCUGACCUGAACAUCCAGGAACUUUUGCUCCCCAGUCUGAUAACUGUAAUACUGUAAUACUUCUUGUACUUGUUCAGUACUUAUCCCUAGCAUAGGUAUGGACUUUGGGAGCCCAUUCCAUGUGGAGGAUAGUCCCUGAGCCAAGACACACAGGGGUGGGCCUAGGCCCUAUCCCAAAGGAUAUAAUAGACACUGAUGACACCCUGUGGAAGGCCUCACCAUUCAGGGGGAGCAGAAAGGAUAUGUGAUAGAUUGGGUUUUAGUGGGGGGGCGGUAGGGGAGGAUGGGUGGGAGAAGGGAAAUGGGAUUGUCAUGUAAAACAAUCCUGUUUCUAAUUCAAAUAAAAAAAAGUUGCUGAAAAAAGAAAAUCACAGAGCAAAAAAAAAAAAAAUAGUUUCUCUUUGCAACAAUUAUAGUCCAUUACAUAAAACUACUAUCAAUCAAAAUCUACACCUACUAUACAACUUUCACACCUAAAGUGAAGUUGUCUUUAUGGAAUACUGAGGAGAAAGAUUGUAAGGGCCAGAGAAUCAAGGAAUUUGCUAAGGGAUUGUGUCUCCUAGGAAUGUCAAAACGUGCCCAUAAAGAUUCACCAAUGUGACUGCCUAAACAUGAUCUGAUCAAGGGCAACAACAGAGUCAUGUUAAAGUUAGAUGUUAGAAAGCCCAAGAGGCCUCAACCUUAUGCAAAUAACUAUAGGGAACUAAGAAAUGUUUAGAGAUAGUAAAUUAGACUUCCCCGUGGAAGAACACACAACUGGUUAUCCAAUAGCAAUUGGUCAGACAGAAAACAUAUCUACAAGUGACAUCAUAUAGACUGUGCAGGUUACAUUUAAUAAUAUAUAUACAUGUAAAAAUGAAUAAAAUAGGCAUGAAUUUUAGAGAGAGCAGGAAGGGAAUGUUUGGAGAGAGGAAGUAGAAAGGGAAAUGAUGUGAUUAUAUUAUAAUCUCAUAAAUUAGAAGAAAAAAUUGUAUGUACAUUUUUUCUAAAAUUGCUUUCAGGUAUUACCACAUGUGUGGUGCUUGACUUAUUCUAUUUAUUUCACUUAGGCUUCAUUGGACUUUAAAAAUAAAUAUUAGCAUGUGUUUGUUGAACUAUGUGAUGUACAUAUGAGCAAAUGUACAUGGUGCGCAUGUCAAAGUCAGAAGACAACUCUGUGGAGUGGAUUCUGUCUUUCUACCUUCACCUAGAUUUCAGGGAUCAAGUUUGUACUCUAAGAAGCUUUAGCCACUGAGCCAUAUCAUCAGAUCUAUUUUGCUUUUUUGAUAUGUAUUUUUAGUAAAUAUCCCAAACUAACCUGAAAUCACAAUCCUGCCCUAUUCUUCUCCUUGAGGUUACAAGCAGACAAAUCUUGCUAUUUCUUGACCCAUAGUUUUCAGCUCCACAGUUUUUUGUACCUGAAUGCUUUUCUUUUCAUUCAUAUCAAUUGUUAAGAAUGGACAGUUUGGAAUCCGUAAUUCAAUCCUGCCACCAAAAUCUUUAACUCACUUAUAUAUACUUAUGAAUAAAUAAGUGAACAGAUGAAUAGUUGCUUCCAUUCUCCUUUUGUGUUAUACAUAUUCACUUACAAUCCCAGCAAUGAACUGGAUAAAAAAGGAAUCCUACUUAUCAGAUAGCAGUGGUGUUCUAGAAAAUUCUAAAAUACUACUAGACAAAUGCUGCAUGUUUGGAGUACUUUUUUGAAGUAAGUGGUAUUCAUUGGACUAGAGCUAUGCCACGAGGAAUAGACUGUAGCUAUUUUGUAAUCUGCAACAUUUGGCUAUAGCAUGUGAGUACUUUGCUAUUCUAUCAUUUGGACAUCCACUUCUGAAGGAUGUAUGAAAGAACAGAAGCUCUGGGGUGAGAAAAUGGGUUUUCUGCCAUCUCAGGUACAUAUGCUCUUGUUUUGUAGUAUAUGUAGUAGUUUCAGUUUAAGCUGGCAAAGUUUUGUUAGCAUGGCUCUCAAAUGCUUAUGUAGCAAGCACAGCUCUCUGUGACUCUGUUUCUGGUCAAUUGUAUCCAUACUCAUACUCAUAGUUACUUUAAUGGCAUGUCUCUUUCUAUAGAUUUAAUUAUAUGUAGCUUGUGUUCUUGGGCUUUUGUAGAAAUGUAUCCUUUAGUGGAAGCUCUUUGUUUCAGCUGAAAGAAGAUGAGUUCUCUUUUUAAACCAUGUUUCUCUGUUAACAAAAGCUUUUCUGUCGUACCCAUGAUUUGUUUUUUUUCAACAGCUGUCAUAACUACUACACUUUGUAUUUGCUGAGAAAUAGUUUUAUUUGUAGCACUGAAAUGUCUGAAAAAGUUAUAGUCCCUUUAACUUUUGUUUGUAAUUUGCUUUUCCCACAAAGCUUAUUUUUCUCCUAUGUACAAAAAUUAGGUCCAAUUUACAAAAAUUAGGUCCAAUGGUCUCAGACUCUCUAACCACCAUUAUAGCACUUGGACCAAAGCCACAAGAUCACUCAUCUACUUUGUGUCUUCCAAGUUAAAAAUAGCCCUGAUUUGGUCAAUUAUUUUGCUACUCCCUAAACCAGAAUACAACUUUUUCAUUCCCAUAUAAUAUCCCUGCUAGCUCUGCACUUGCUCAAAAAACUAGUAUCUAAUCCACUUUGUUUUCUUUUACUAAGUUAAAGAAUCUAGUUUCAAGGAGCUCAUUACCAAGCAGUCUGUGUAUUAGUCCUCCACUCUUAGAGCAAUGAAUCACUGCAAGUUCACUGGUUUAAAACACCACACAUCAUCACCUUACUACUCCUACGAGUCAGAUAUGGGAGUCAUUUCCCUAGAUUCUCCAUAAUAAGGCAUCUAUGAAGUUGAAAUCAAAGUGUGGGUUAGGAUCUUACCUGGAGGUUCAGUCGAGAAAAAGUCCAAUUUCCUUCUUCCUAGACUAAUGGUUCCAUUCAUGUCCUAAUAGCUCUAGGAGGCAUAGCAGAUUACAUAAGGAAUCUCACAAUUUAGCCAUAAGCAUCACUACACCAUUGUAUAUUAAGUCAGUUUGACACAGCCACAGGAUCUGCCUGGAUCUGAGGGGACAGAAUCAUACAAAUAUGUGAACACCAGGAGGUAAGGUUCGUGUAGGUACAUCUCUUUUCUAUUUUCUGGCUGCAAUUACCAACAUCUAAAGGAGGAGAUUAUAGUCCUAGUGUCUCCUAGCUCUUAAAGAUCAUUCCAGGUCACCAAUUCCCAAUGAAUAGAGAAUUUAUACAUGUUGGAAUUUAAAUGAAGGUAUUGUUCCUUCUAUAAGGCUAUGGUGAAUGAAUAUAGAGGCUUAUGAAAUUGUUCAGAAUCCCACACGAUACUCACACAGUUUGCAAUAACUUCUCCUUAUAUGAGUUAUACUUUCUUCACAUUUUGUAGUUCUGGAAAACUCAUCAAUCUCAAGUCUCUAUUUCUUUGAGCUUAUAGUUCAGUGGUUCUUGACCUGUGGGUUACAAUUCCUUUGAGGGUUCAACAAUCCUUUCAUGGGUGUCCCAUAAUAGAUAUUCUGCAUAUCAGAUAUUUACUGUGUGUUUUAUAACAGUAGUGAACUCACAAUUAUGAAGUAACAAUGAAAAUAAUUUAUGGUUUGGGUCACCACAACAUGGGGAACUGAAUUAAAGGGUCACAGUUUGAGAACCACUACUCUAGAUACAUUCUGAUAGACUGUAUGAGUAAAAUUCUGUUCUCAUUAUAUAAAUCCUAUGUGAAAUGUCUUAUUCCCAUGAGAGUGGAUGUUUCAAAUUUCCUGACAUAGAUUGACAUUUAAGUUCUAUGUACUUGUCUCCAUAGUUAAGUCUUGAAAGACAUUAAAGAGAUAUGUAACAAUCAAAUAAGAGUAUUUGGACAGGGAGACCUGAAAUCUAGGUGCCCAAAAGGUUUCCAGAGGAUUCUGAUUGAAAGCCAGUUUGAGGGACAACAAAAACAGCAUUUGUGAGUUAACUGGAAUACCAAAUAAAAGUUUCAUCUCUUGGUACACUUCAUUUGACUUUUAUAAACAUUUUAUUACAUUUAUUUAUUUGGAUGUAUAUUCCAUCUAUGUAUUUACAAGGACCAAACAUCACAGAAAGCCCGUGGAGCUUAAAAGGCAGCUUGCAGGAAGCAGUUUUCUCUUCUAUCAUGUAGGUCUGGGGAAUAUGGUUCAGGUAGUCGGACUUGCUGGUAAGUGCCCUUACACACUAAGCCAUCUUGCCAGCAUUUGACUAAUUAAUUUUAUGACAAAAUAUCAUUAUAGUACUGUGUUCCCUUCUAUAUGAAAAGAAAUUAAAUUAUUCCUAGAUUUUGCUCCUCUGAAAUUGGAUUCUGAAUUUUAUAUCAAACAAAACAUAUUUGACCAAGUUCUGAGCCAAACUGCAUUAUUUACCAGGCCUGUGACUUUGGUGAAGUUAUUUCAUUCCCUAAUGCCUCUGUUUUCUCAUCUGUGAAAUAGGAGUAAUAAUAUCACCUGAACAAUGGGGACAAAGUAGUAAAAUCUCAUUAAAUUAUGUCAUGUAGAGCAUUUAAAAUGGUGUCGAGUGUAAUAAGCAGUGCACAGUGUUUGCUAAAGCAAAAUCUAAAUAUAAGAUAGAGAAUAACAAACAUUUACUUAACUAUAAACAGUGAACAGCAACAAAAUUUUAGGCACUGGAGAUAGAAAACAAGUAAUAUUCAAGCCACCUCAUGAGAGGAAGUUGGAUAUAUAAACAGAACUUAAAAUGUGAUGAUGAUGUCAUUGCACAGGGUUAUUUGGGAGACUUGAAGUCACUGAUUUUGCUGGGAAAGAACAAGGAAGAACUUUCUGAAAAGAUGACAUGUGAGUUGUUUAGAAGAAUGUUGCCUUUUACAGAAAGUGGUAUCCUGGCACAGAAAUGAUAGGGCACACAGUGCAAAGGAACAUGCUGUGGGAAAUUUUUUGCAGAGAAUUUCUGCAGAAAUUAUUUGACCCACAAAAUAGUGAAUUGUAAUAUCAAAAUUAGAAAUACAAUAAACAGCAGUUAUCAAAAAUUAUAUUUUGGUGUUUUAACUUUUCUCACACUCCACUAGUAUUGUUUUAAACAAAGAAGGCUCAAUAACAACCCAUUCAAUGUAUCUGUACAUGAUCAUAUGACCCAUGUCAGGCAAAAUGUUAGUUCUAUAAAAUAAUAGACACUUAGAUUUUCCAUGCUCUUGUCUCAGUGUCUCAUUACCUAUCAAAUCACAACAAGGAGCAUGUAAAAACUAGUUCUCAUGAUGUCGUAUGUACAGGGAGACAGCCUAUAGAUAGCUGUCUACUGGAAGGAGGAAAAGUCAAGCAGGAUACAAAUGAUAUCACCUGUUGCUCUGACUUUUGUUCUAAUGGAUGCCUUUCAACCCCAAGAUAUGGUCGGUUUAUCUGAGUGGGUUGGAAGACUUAGAAAAGGGAUUACCCAAACAUAAAAGCAACAGAAUGUGUUCUGCUGGAGGCUGAUACCUGUUUCCACAACCUCUAUUUGCUCAUUUGCAAGAAGUCUGCCAUGUUUGGAACUUUGGGAGCUCCCUCCAACAUACUCUGUGAUAUACAUGCAUCCGUUUGCUGUAUAUGUACCAGCCAGACUACACUUUCUUUAUCUCUUCGGGGAACUUUCUUCUUCCCUGAUUCAGAACUUUACCUUAUGCGUCUUUCUCCUGCAGUCUCUAUUCUUUUCACUUCUCCUUUACCUUGCUAACCCAUGCCUUUGUAUCAAUAGUCAAACAUCACAACUUCAGGAGAUUCUUAAAAUUGUCUGGCUAUGUCAGUUGUCUAUGUUGUAUCCAAUAGUAUUGAAUAGUCAACAUGCUUUGGACUUUAUCCAACAGUUGUUUUAUGCCUUUGGUUAUAAGCUUCAUCAAGGAAGGUGUCUGUCCUUUUUUCCUUACACAAUGACUGAAAAUAGUACAGUCUGAAGUGUUGGUUCAUCCCAAGGGAUGGGAGAUUAUUCUAGAUUUUUCUAAUGGAAAACAAUUGGUUGUGUCUAUGCCUCCACAGAACAUACUUCUAAAUAAUUCCCUUUUUUUGAUUUUACGGAAAAUUACAUUUGGGAAACACAAUAAUCAAUUAAAGAAAUCACCAAUGGAAGUGUAUUUGUAUAUGAGCACAUUAUCUAGAACAAUAUAAAUGCUAAUUUGGAAUAAGAGAUAUCAACGAAUCACUUCUUUCAUCUUAAGAACAUCAUGUUCAAAAACAAAAACAAAAACAAAAAACAAAACAAAAAAGAACAUCAUGGUUAUUUGAGCAAGAUUAUAGUAAUACCUUGUAAUACUCUUGUCCUUGUAAUAAGUAAUGAAAAUUUGAUCUUCAGGACAUCUUACUGUAUAGGUUAGUAUUAUUUGCCUGUUCUGUGUCAACAUCUGAGACAACUGAUACAUUUAUUUUCCUAUUCUUAAAAUAUAGAUUGUCUCUCAACUACACCAGAUAUUUUUCUUCUGUAUAAAUUUUAAUUAAAAGUAUAUAUCUGCAAGUCCAGACCUGAACUGCUGCCAAGGGCGAUGGCUAGGUUCAUGGCCUUACUGAAAUCAGGGUUUGUGUUGAUAUUCAUGGUUUCAGUUACCACUGAAAGUCAGGCAGAUGCCCAAGGUCUAGACAGCCACCUGAGUCCAUGUUAGUCUGUGAGGCCCACGUCUGGCUACAUGUCCCUACAUUAGCUAGGGUCUGUGUUGAUGUCUGUGCCUCCUGUUACCACCAAAGUUCAUGUGUAUGUCUGGGGUCUGGCCCACCACCUUGGGCCAUGCUGGUGUCUGAAGGCCAAACUAUCGCUGCGCCUGUACUGAUUUGAGUGGCCUGUGCUGCCACCAGAGACCACAGUGACAUGUGGGUCCAAACCCCAACCAAAGACCCUGUGUGGGUCCAUGCUCUUACCACAGUAGGGUCUGAGUUGAUGUCUGGGGCUCCUGUUACCACCAAGGGCAAUGUGGAUGCCGAGGGUCUAGGCCACCACUUGAGGCCAUGUUGGAUUCUGAAGGUCGAGCUUCAGCCAGGGCCAUGUUGAUCUGAGUGGCUUGUGCUAUCACCCGGGGCUAUAAUGACAUCCAGGCCUGAGCUGCUGCCAAGAGGCUAUAUAUGGUUCUGUGGUCCUGCUGCUGCUCUGCUCCAUGAUGAUUUCCGUGGCCCACGUUACCACAGUGGGCCAUAAGAACCAUGCAUGUUGAAAUCCGAGGACUAUACUAAGCCAGCAUUGCCUUUGCUGCCCCUGGGAAAGCUAGCCCUGGAACUAGCUGGCCACUACAGCAGAAGAGCUGGACCCACACUCAGGAGAGAUGGCCCCACUCCUCACCAUGGGUAUAGGAAAGCUGGCUCCCUCCCCUUACUUGGGUGCAGUCCCAGUUGCCCAGACUGACCAAAUCAGCUACCACCCAGACCCACAUCCAGGCCUUUAAGUUGCCCAUUUCAACAUCUACUCCAUCUAUGACCUGCCAGAGUGCAGGAAGAGACUGACUGAGGAAACACAGUCACAGGAUCUACAUGACUUGGGGCAACAGUAGGAUAUCCAAGAGAUGUCUUGGUGAGGAUCCAGUGAUUACAGUGUACCAGAAGCCAGAAGCCUUUAACCAGACCAACAACUCAUUGAAGGGAACAUUUGCAAAUAAAGCUCAGUGGUUAAAAGGGUAUUUUUUGUGACACACUGUAACUCUAAAUGCCACUAAGACAAAAAAAAAGACAUGUUGUAGGCAGGAAAGAUGGAUGAGUGAAGCAGGUUUUUGUUUAUUUGUUUUGUUGUGUUUUUUAUUUAUUAAAUUUUCUUUAAGGGUGACAUUACAGGGAUGAGGGGCAGAUAUGGAGGGACUGGGAAAUGAACAGGGUUGGGAUGCAUGAUGUGAAAUUCCCAAAGAAUCAGUAAAAACAAGUAUGUUAAAAAUUAAAUUUAAAAAAUUUUAAAGUAUGUCAGUGUAUAAAAAUGCAUGUUAGCUUUAAAAUUAUCAUAUGUAGUUUAUAUAAACCAGAAUUUAUUAUUUGAUGAGGAGGGAAUUAACCUACUCUAAUAUCUAAGAACAAACAUAAACAUUAUUAAGUGGAUCAUUUAUUAAUUGAAAAAUUGUGAUAAGGUAUUUCUGGCAUGUCUAAUAUAUGUUCCCCAAAUAAGGACAAAAUAUAAAUAUUCCUUUUCAUUAAGACCAGAGUAAUAAAAGACUGUCAAUUUUAGUCUAUUGUUAGCUCUUAAAUUCUGUCCUUUUUUAACUCACCCGAUUUGGUUUUAUUAUGUCCUCAUAUUUUCCAUGUAAUCAAAAUAGUCUAGCUCAUGGAAUUUUCCCCAUAGGGAAAUCUACUCUGAAACUCUAUACUACUUUUCAGAGUUUACAAAACAUCCUUUAUAUCUCCAUUGCCACAGAUGUUGGCUUUGUUGUAAUGCAAUUAAACAUGAAACGACUAAAUGAUGCAUAAAGAACAUCAAUGUCAGAUUAUGCUCUCAAACUCAUUAGCAGACAGCACAAUGAUUUGCCCAAGAGAGUAUAUUUCUGACUUUUUUGUACUUUCCACUUAUUUCCUAUCUCAUUUUAGAAGCAAGUAGCAUAAUACCUUAUUCGCUUCAGUAAUCAUGUUUCCAGAAACUGAAAGUGAAGGCUCUCAUCAACACCAAGUGAUGGUCAAACUCAUUUGCUAAGUUUAGAAGAAUCUUAAAAUUGAUGGCAUAUUAAGCAGUGAGAACUACUCAGGUUAGGAAAGAAAGCAUACAAUUAGGCUUGAUUUUUGGUUGGCCUGUGCCCUGGAGAAUGGAGAGACAUAAUCACUGAUCUUGAACACCUAGGGAUGUUACAGAGGUAAACAACAUCCUUCCAUUCCAUAUUCAAGGCUAUGUCAAGCAAAGAGGAAAGUGGAAAGGAAAAUAUUAAGAACAAAACACUUAGGGCUUUGGAAUACGAAGCUUCCAGUUCGUUGACAAUUUCCUUUUGAGGAGACCUAUCUAGUUUCUGUCAAGAUGGAACAAAAGAAUUCAACUGGAUUUGCAUCUUAAGUUCCACUGAGACAAAAUUCUGAUUUCCCAGUGGCUUGCUUCUUCAGCUAGCUAAAGCACCCUCUCAAAGGGUAAUGUACCAGAUCACUCUUUGCAAGCUAUUGUUAAAGCAUAUUUCAACAACACUUUAAAUAAUCUUUGUUGUUGUUGUUGUUCAUGGUUUGUUGGGUCAUUUUCAUGCUAAAAUGUAGGAUGGAUGUGAUUUUCUGCCCAGUUCCCAAAUCCUAAGGAUAAAUUAAUUUUAAAAAUAACGUUUGUAGUAUCUGUAGCAUCUGGAGUUAAAAGAUCAGGGAUUCUGCUGUCUAAAUAACAAUCCACCUGUAUUUGUAACAAUUAUGUCAAUGGUAUUUUCUGAUGAUGGAAAAGAUAACUGGAACCACAUCAAAGGUCCCUUUGAUCCUUUCAAGGUUUACUUGUCUGUUUUUCUGUCCCAAGAGUUAGAUGUAAAUUGCUUGAGACAUUGAUAGUGCCAUUGUAUAACAUAGUCUUUAGUAAUCACUUGUUUCUGUGGACAUUUUCUGAGAUACCUACUUUACUCUCCUGUCUCCUUUCAUUGAUUAAUUUACAGCAUUCUCCAUUUUGUCCUGAAUUAUUGACUUAUGAUCUAGUCAAGCUUUGGUUUAUCAUAUAAAUAAUAGAAUGUGUCUUUGAGUUAGUUUGCUUUUUGAUAUUUAUGGAGAGAAGAAAACAUACUAAUUCAGAAGAGGGGAAACUGAAUUAAUAUCUUUAAUUUUCAACAUGACAGCAUAGGAAAUAGUAUAUAAAUAAAGAGGUCGAGAAUUUAGAGAUGGAAGAUAGUAAAAUUAAUCCAUAGUAAUAGGAAAGACAACAGGCCAUGUGUAUAUACAGACAAGUAAAUGCUGUACUGUGCUUCUAAGGACUCACAGGAGGCCUUCUCUGAUCCCUUCUAUCUUUUCAGUGAAAUAAGAAAGCUCAACAGUCAGUGUUUAAAAACUGUUAGAACAUCUAGAAAAAGAAUGAAAAUUGGGUUUGCAGAUUACAUGUUAGAAGCCAUAACUAAGCCAAGCGCAAUAAUGCAUUUCUGUGAUCUCAACAUAAAGAGCAAUAAAGCUGGAGGUGCAAGAGUUCAUAGCCAGGUGGACAUGGUGAAACUCUGAAGAAAAGGCUAGUACUAAUAUGAAGCUCAGCAGUAGAGCAUUUGCCUAGCAUGUGCAAAGCUCUGAAGACAGAAGAAAUUAAAGAAACCAAACAAAUGUCAAAGAGAAUCUAAAACAUGAGUAAAUGUAUACAUAUUACUAACAGUCUUGUACACAUUUUUGUUGAUGAAAGAAACAGUUCUUACUGCAAAGGAAUAAGAGGUGGAUUAUUCUGGAGCCAUAUAUGAAUGGGUGUGACGCUGGAACAUGUGUUUAGUUCUCUCCAAAUACCAUGUUCCAAUUGGGUAGCUAGCAUUCUCAUGAACGUUUUCAUAGUACCAGAACAAUAAAAGUCAUAUUAAGUAACACUUUCCAAACACAUUGUUGAAUACACAGGCAGGUUUUGGCAAAACCAUCAUUACAUGCCAUCUGACAGUGAUUUUGACCCUUUGAAUGGUGGAAACUAAAAGUCUCAUACAUUCCAAAAUGGUUCUAUCUGUCACAACUUGUUAGAUGUGACAUAGAAGAGGACAAGGAAUGUCUAUUUUGGGACCUAAAGAUAGCCCAAUGUACACUGUUAUUAGUUCAUCUGAGCAUCCCAACCUUUGCCACUCAAGUUCUCAUCACAUUUUCCAGCCCCAUUUAACUUGUUGAGAUCAGGCUUUUUGAGUUGGAUUUUUCCAAAAUUUGUUUGGCUGACUGUUUACUGGUUGCCUAGAAAAAAGACAAGGAAUUUUCAGGUGUAGAGAACUACAAAUUCUAAAUCUCAAGCUUUUUCAAGCAUUAUUUUGUUAUCACUUCUUUCUAGAACUCAGUGAGGGAAAAAAGGAUGUCACUUAUCUUUUUGUCCAUAGCACCUUGCCUCUCCCAAUAUUUGUUGAUUGAAGGAAUGCAUGAAACAAUCUCCCCACUCUUCUGUUACUACUGCCUUCUAACUUUCACUAUCACACUAUCCCAUCAUCCCACUGUCCUGCUGAUAAAAAGAAAGCUAUUGCUUUCUGGUCAUCAUAGCUAUAUGUCAAAAUAACAAGAAAAUUCAGAGUAGCAUUAUGUUCCACAUUCCAAAACAAACAUUUGCUUCUGUACUGGGAUCAUUGGUGAGAAUCUGUUUCCUCUGUUGUUUUCAGCUUCAAGGGAGGCUGGGAAACUACUCACUCAAAAAAUGUAGGUUCAAAAGUUUUUACUUAUUUGCAAGGUAACAAGUUAUUCUACUAAAAUUUUAUAUAAUACUGGAAGAAGCCACACAAUUUCUUGGCCAUAGAUUUAAACAGGUAAUUACUCAUGACUGAAUCCCAAUUCCGCACAACAUAAAGUGACUGAGAGUCAGAUUCUGCCCACACAGGCAGUGUGUUACAUCCAGGAGGAGGACAGAGAGAUGAUGAGGCUUGGGGACUGUGUACAGGAUUCUGACACAACUUCCAACUUCCUCCUCCAGUAGAAAAACAUAAGGCCUUUAAUCUGCAAUGUAAGAAAAUAUUCUCUGGCGAAUGGGCAAAGGCUUUCUUACACUGAAAUAUAAAUGCUGGUACUACCAAAAGCCAUCUACUAAAUCAUGAAAGGCAAAUUAUUGUUGGCUUUCAAGACAUAUUAGCUGAUAGAUUAUCCCGUAGCUAAAGGCCCAGACCAUUAAUAAACAAGAUGAAAAAUUAUCUCCAAGAAUUUACCUGGUGGCAUGCAAACAAACAAAUCAGAACCCCUAGAUUAAGAUGAAGGAUGGAAUGGAUACUUUAGAAAAAUGAAAAGAUUUUCUGUCACAGUUGAAUCCAAAGUAAACUUAUAAAAGCUUUGAAUUCUGUUUCAUUUUUCAGGCUUUUCCAUUUUACUCUUGAAACUGUUACUCCUUAUAACGAAAUAUUCUAAUAAGUCACCUUGGUUAACUAUACCCAUGAAUAUUUCUUCUGAUUUCAUCAUUUCUAGUUUAUCAUUUCUAUUUUAAAUAAACCACAACAUAUCAUAUAUAAUUUAGGGGUGUACAGGUGUUUUGAAUGUAUAUUCUUUAUACGUAAAAACCAACAGAUAAUUAUUUAAAGAUACCUAAUACUGUAUUUUACUUACAGUAUUCAUUAUACAUAUUCUGCUUGGAAUUUGAAAUAUAUUUUAAUAUUUCUGAAUUGAGAUUUUUUUAUUUACUUAAAAAUAACUCUUGGUUGGCCAGGCAGUGAUGGUUCAUGCCUUUAAUCCCAGAACUCCAGAGGCAGAGGCAGGCAGAUCUCUGUGAGUUUGAGGCCAGACCGGGCUACAGAGCCAGUCCCAUGAUAUGCUUCAAAGCUAUACAGAGAAAAACUGUCUCACACACCCCCCAAUAAUAAUAACUCUUGAUCAUUUGAAAUGUUGUAUACAGUAUCAAGAACUUUGGGAAAGAAGACACACACACACACACACACACACACACACACGC